UCCCUAGGCUGAUUGACUUGGGUGUUAGU
rnacentral:piRNA from 1 species